rnacentral:rRNA from 1 species
UAGGCUGAAACUCGCCUACAUGAAGCUGGAGUUACUAGUAAUCGCAGAUCAGAAUGCUGCGGUGAAUGCGUUCCCGGGUCUUGUACACACCGCCCGUCACACCACGGAAGUUGGGGCGCCCGAAGCCACUUAGCUAACCCUUUUGGGAAGCGAGUGUCGAAGGUGAAAUCAAUAACUGGGGUGAAGUCGUAACAAGGUAUC